AGUGAACGCUGGCGGUAGGCCUAAUACAUGCAAGUCGAACGAGUGGCGGACGGGUGAGGAAUACAUCGGAAUCUACUCUGUCGUGGGGGAUAAAGUGGGGAACCUUACGCUAAUACCGCAUACGAUUGAAUGAGCCGACGUCGGAUUAGCUAGUUGGCGGGGUAAAGGCCCACCAAGGCGACGAUCCGUAGCUGGUCUGAGAGGAGGAUCAGCCACACUGGAACUGAGACACGGUCCAGACUCCUACGGGAGGCAGCAGUGGGGAAUAUGGGACAAUGGGCGCAAGCCUGACCCAGCCAUACCGCGUGAGUGAAGAAGGCCUUCGGGUUGUAAAGCCCUUUUGUUGGGAAAGCGGUACCCAAAGAAUAAGCACCGGCUAACUACGUGCCAGCAGCCGCGGUAAUUC
rnacentral:rRNA from 1 species